AGUGAACGCUGGCGGUAGGCCUAACACAUGCCAGUCGAACGGCAGCACAGUAAGAGCUUGCUCUUACGGGUGGCGAGUGGCGGACGGGUGAGGAAUACAUCGGAAUCUACUUUUUCGUGGGGGAUAACGUAGGGAAACUUACGCUAAUACCGCAUACGACCUACGGGUGAAAGCAGGGGAUCUUCGGACCUUGCGCGAUUGAAUGAGCCGAUGUCGGAUUAGCUAGUGGGCGGGGUAAAGGCCCACCAAGGCGACGAUCCGUAGCUGGUCUGAGAGGAUGAUCAGCCACACUGGAACUGAGACACGGUCCAGACUCCUACGGGAGGCAGCAGUGGGGAAUAUUGGACAAUGGGCGCAAGCCUGAUCCAGCCAUACCGCGUGGGUGAAGAAGGCCUUCGGGUUGUAAAGCCCUUUUGUUGGGAAAGAAAAGCAGCAGGUUAAUACCCCGCUGUUCUGACGGUACCCAAAGAAUAAGCACCGGCUAACUUCGUG
rnacentral:rRNA from 1 species